AGGACGAACGCUGGCGGUGCGCCUAACACAUGCAAGUCGAACGGUGAACCGGGCUUCGGCCCGGGGAUCAGUGGCGAACGGGUGCGUAACACGUGGGCAACCUGCCCCCGACCCUGGGAUAACCCCGGGAAACCGGAGCUAAUACCGGAUACUCUCCUCCGACCACAUGGUCGGAAGAGGAAAGGUCCGCCGGUCGGGGAUGGGCCCGCGGCCUAUCAGCUUGUUGGUGGGGUAACGGCCUACCAAGGCAUCGACGGGUAGCUGGUCUGAGAGGACGACCAGCCACACUGGGACUGAGACACGGCCCAGACUCCUACGGGAGGCAGCAGUGGGGAAUCUUGCGCAAUGGGCGAAAGCCUGACGCAGCGACACCGCGUGGGGGACGAAGGCCUUUCAGGUCGUAAACCCCUUUCGGCAGGGACGAAGCGAUCUCGUGACGGUACCUGCAGAAGAAGCCUCGGCUAACUACGUGCCAGCAGCCGC
rnacentral:rRNA from 1 species